rnacentral:rRNA from 1 species
UACAGAGGGUGCAAGCGUUGUUCGGAAUUACUGGGCGUAAAGCGCGUGUAGGCUGCGACGUAAGUCAGGUGUGAAAGCCCUCAGCUUAACUGAGGAAGUGCACUUGAUACUGCGUCGCUUGAGUGUCGGAGGGGGUGGCGGAAUUCCCGGUGUAGAGGUGAAAUUCGUAGAUAUCAGGAGGAACACCGGUGGCGAAGGCGGCUUCCUGGACAAUUACUGACGCUGAGACGCGAAAGCGUGGGGAGCAAACAGG